AAACCAAACAAACUAGAUAGAGACAAUGAUAUAGAGAAUGUAAAU
rnacentral:guide_RNA from 1 species